rnacentral:other from 1 species
UAUAGCCUGCCGUGUGCGCCAGGAUGGAUAUGUAAUUGAGCCAACACCUUUUACAUGGGAGUCCGGUCUCCUUGUGUGGAAUGUAGGCCUGCAAUAAGCAGGAAACAAGAAGCAUGAGGGAGGAUACCCACCUGCUGAGAGCAGGUUCAAUCACACCAUCCAGCGGGACGGUGGGUUUUUG